rnacentral:rRNA from 1 species
GCUACGGGCGGCAGCAGUGGGGAAUAUUGCACAAUGGGGGAAACCCUGAUGCAGCAACGCCGCGUGGGUGAAGGAGCGUUUCGGCGCGUAAAGCCCUGUCAGCGGGGAAGAAGAAAGACGGUACCCGACCAAGAAGCCCCGGCUAACUACGUGCCAGCAGCCGCGGUAAUACGUAGGGGGCGAGCGUUAUCCGGAAUUACUGGGUGUAAAGGGAGCGUAGACGGCGAGGUAAGCCUGAAGUGGAAGCCCGCGGCCCAACCGCGGAACUGCUUUGGGAACUGUUUUGCUGGAGUAUGGGAGGGGUAAGCGGAAUUCCUGGUGUAGCGGUGAAAUGCAUAGAUAUCACGCAGAACUCCGAUUGCGAAGGCAGCAUACCGGCGCUCAACUGACGCUCAUGCACGAAAGUGUGGGUAUCGAACAGGAUUAGAUACCCGUGUAGUC